rnacentral:rRNA from 1 species
AGGAUGAACGCUGGCGGCGUGCUUGACACAUGCAAGUCACGGGGGCCCAGCAAUGGGCAACCGGCGAACGGGUGCGUAACACGUGAGCAACCUACCGAAAUGAGGGGGAUAGCCGGCCCAACGGCCGGGUAAUACCGCAUACGCUCGAGACCAGGCAUUUGGACUCGAGGAAACCUCCGGGGCAUUUCGAGGGGCUCGCGGCCUAUCAGCUAGUUGGUGAGGUAACGGCUCACCAAGGCGACGACGGGUAGC